rnacentral:miRNA from 1 species
CUAUCUCCCAUAAUGCUUAGC